UGGGCAACCUGCCCUCAGCUCUGGGAUAACCCCGGGAAACCGGGGCUAAUACCGGAUACGACCUCCACGGGCAUCUGUGGAGGUGGAAAGGGUUUCCGGCUGAGGAUGGGCCCGCGGCCUAUCAGCUAGUUGGUGUGGGUAACGGCCCACCAAGGCGACGACGGGUAGCCGGCCUGAGAGGGUGACCGGCCACACUGGGACUGAGACACGGCCCAGACUCCUACGGGAGGCA
rnacentral:rRNA from 1 species